AUUGAACGCUGGCGGCAUGCUUUACACAUGCAAGUCGAACGGUAACAGGCCGCAAGGUGCUGACGAGUGGCGAACGGGUGAGUAAUGCAUCGGAACGUGCCCAGUCGUGGGGGAUAACUAUCCGAAAGGAUAGCUAAUACCGCAUACGAUCUGCGGAUGAAAGCGGGGGACCUUCGGGCCUCGCGCGAUUGGAGCGGCCGAUGUCAGAUUAGGUAGUUGGUGGGGUAAAGGGUCACCAAGCCAACGAUCUGUAGCUGGUCUGAGAGGACGACCAGCCACACUGGAACUGAGACACGGCCCAGACUCCUACGGGAGGCAGCAGUGGGGAAGUUUGGACAAUGGGCGCAAGCCUGAUCCAGCAAUGCCGCGUGCAGGAAGAAGGCCUUCGGGUUGUAAACUGCUUUUGUACGGAACGAAACGGCUCUGGUUAAUACCUGGGGCUAAUGACGGUACCGUAAGAAUAAGCACCGGCUAACUACGUGCCAGCCGCCGCCGUAA
rnacentral:rRNA from 1 species